AAACGACUGCAGUCCGAAAGAAGACAGUGGUGAGCAGCUCAUUGUCAUUGUUCCCCUGGGCUGGCAUACUUCGGUCGGGAGCCCCAUUUCGCGGAGGGCACAUUUAUGCUGAGAGGUGCUUACAGCCUGGAGUAUUAACCUGGAGUAUUCACCCGUCAUUUUCAUCAUGUAGCAGUACUGACUUCAAGGAAGUGAAGUGGAUCAGAUCUUCGCAGCUUUCAAGGAACCCAACAACGAGCCGAUGGAGCGACCUGAAGAAGUUGCCGACGGUCACCCAGAGGUGGAGAAAUCUACAGAGAUUGGACAGAAUAAUGCGAACACCCGUCUGACAUGCAGAGGACUAUGUUUUGCAUCCAAACCAGCUUGAGCGUUCCUGGAGAUGUCUCCUACAAAUACUGUGUGCCAGUUAGUAGAAUUACAUACCAUUAUUCACAAAGACACUGUUUCAGGAGAGAUGCAUGAGGAGCAUAAGGAAUCCUCAUAGUUCUUAUCACUGAUCAGAAUGACUAGAUAAGAUACAAAUUAGAUAUUUGUGGAAAGUCUGAAGAACGUUAUUUCACUCUAAUAACCUUCAAAACAGUCUUGAAAAUUUCCAGUGUGUGACAAGGAGAAUUGUCAUAUUGGAAGAUUCAUAUGUUGCAGUGUACCAUUUAAUCAGCACUUCGAAACAAAAUGGUUGGUUACCUUUCCCGUUACGAUUCAUUUCAAGCUGACCAUCAGAUCCGCCGUAAACCAGUAAAAAUGCUACACAGCAUUUACGAUGCUACUGUGCUGAAAUGAUACUCUAUGGGCAACACGCUUUCUCUGUGUUCUCCAUAGCAAGGACAUCUGCGACUGGGGCAGUACACAGGAAAACACGCCGCAGUAUAUCUCCUGUACUAUUACUCAAAGUGACCGAGGGUAGACCACAGCACUCCGGCCUGGUGGUCCCGGGUUCAACCCCAGGUAGGAGCGGGGUUCUUCCUCGUUCCAGGCCCUCCAGGACUGUCCAGGCCCACUCAACUUGCUAUCAGGCAGCAGAUCCCAGGGGUAAAAGGGGGCUGAGGCGGUGGCCGCACCAACCUCCCACCCUCUCCCUCCUCACCUAGUGUCGCGGCGUAUGAAGGACUAUGCUCUACCCGCAAUGAGGCCUAAAGAUCAUUCACGAGCCAAGAGCCACAGCCUUUAUCGCUCAGACGUCCAGCUCUGUCAAUGUCUUGUUUGCGUAAUACUGCUUUCGCUAGACUGUAGACACAUAUUAAGUUCAGAGGUCACUUUCUUACGGUAUUAGAGGUAAUAGCACUCUAGCAGUUUGUUAUACAUGACAGAGCACAGCAGAUGCAAUGUGCCACAAAAUUAUCAUACUAUCACGACGCUGGACGCAGUAGCUCUGGAUAUUCCCAUUUCUCAGACAUACCAAUGUCUCGGGACACACUGAUAAGUGUUACAUAGUACGUAAGGAACAGGUUAUAAUUUGUGAUUCUUAUUGUUUACACUAGAGUAUAGAGGGAAAAUAAGACAAUGUAAGAUUAUAAGUUGCAGAUAUUGUUUAUACAUGGAUGUUCAUAUUAUUCUGUCCAAUCCCUGUAGAUUUUAGCAAGCUAUCUAUUAAUGGUUUAUCAAUGAAAAAUAAACACACAAAACUGCUAAGCUGACUUUUUAUCUACCUUUUUCAACACUAUGUAAUUUCUACGAAACAGCAGAGAUCGAGACCUUCAAAUGACAAAAGGAUUUCUCUGCUGUUAAAAUGUAUUUCAGCAAAGAGUGAAGAACAAACGUUUUUGCUUCCGUUACGUCGUAAAGAAACUGAUUCCUGACGGAAGUCUCACAAGCAAUGUAUUUCUGCUAUGUAACUAAUUGUGUGCAGCGCCUGAUGGCAGACGAUCACCGCCGCACAGUGAAACACAUACGGCAUUGAAACAUGGCCUUUGAUUAGCAAUGAUCACAACUUACUAGUAGCUUUCACUCGUCUUUUAAAACAAAAAAAAGAAUAUAUGUGUCAACAUUAUCCAAUUUAGAAAUGGGUCUUGUAAUGUGACAACGUGCCAUCUAGUGAAUACCAGGCAUAGUCAAGGCGCAACGGUAGAUAAAUUGGACGCUUAUGCCAUCUGUGGGCCAGAAUCCAAGGCAAAGCGGAAGUGCUUAUGCCUGGUGUCAGCUAAAUUAAAGAACGCUAUGCGGGAGACAGUGUCUGGCUUGUGCUGCACUCUGACAGCGAAAAACAAAAGAAUUAAACUAAAUAAUAUUGGUAUGUGUAGUAAAAAUAUAAAUGUAAUAUUACUUUAAUAUAUGAAAAUGACUCUAAUUGAAUAUUGUAAUGCUAUGGUAUGUUUAAUUGUAAAUAGAGAACUUGGCGUAAUGUAAAAUAAUGUUUAGGUGUCGGGGGAAUCCCCGAGAAUGAGAAACGUGUACAGGUUGGCGCAUAAUAUUGGCGGUAGAAGUAAGUUUGCGUAGCUCUAAGGCAGAACAAGUGUUAAGUGGCGUAAAAGUGACUGCCGGUGUGUGCUACGGUAACGUUGCUAACAGACCAUUUAGAAGUGAGCUGAAAACAGAUAUGGACUUCGUUUAUAAUACGGCUACAAGCUAAAUGGACACUAAGGCUUGUAAGACGCGGUAUUUCGCAACGAACUAGAAGUUAUCUUACAAGAGAAUCAUUAUGAACAGUAGUUGUUAAACUGACGCCAUUACUAGUACAUUUAUAUUUUGUGAAUCAGUUUGUGUAAUAGUCAAACCAAGUUCUGUACAGUGUGUAAA